GGUGAUGUUACCUUAAGUACUAUAAAAAUACAGAUGUCUCCUGGUAUCUUUUUGUUUUUAAUGUUGCAGCAAUUUUAGAAAUGCUGAUGAAGAAACAGUUUCACUUUCUAUUUGAGGAUGAAGAGUCACAAACUCCCCAAAUUCAGCUCUGGUCACAGAGCUGGUGCCCAGCCUAAGAGAAGAGCUGCCAUUGACUCAGUGUGAGUUGAAAAGACAGAGCUCCAUCAGGUGGAACGUGAUCUGUGGAAACAACCUUGCUUUUCCAAAGGUGGUCUGAUGUUCAAACACUAACUCCAACCCACUGUGUCUUGCAAAACUUCACAAGGUCAUGCUGAGGAGCAGAAAGGCUUUAAAUGAAUCCUGCACAGAAUUUUAUGGAAGUGACCACCGUCUUCAGAAUGUGCAUGAGCCUUUUUAUUGUCAAAGAGGUUGGAGAAGGUGAAGGAUAUCCCUCUGUCUACCACAAGCCUUGGAGAACAUGUCAUGUGGCAUAAAAAGAACCAAGAAAGAGAAGGGUUUACAUUUAGAAUAUAUUAGACUAAAAAUAACUAAGUAGCUGGCUAUGGAAAGAGGGUUCAGGAUUCCUUUUCAGCUGUGAAAAGUGAACAAAAUAUCCCAUUGUAAUUAGAACUAGGAAAGCAUG
rnacentral:lncRNA from 1 species